rnacentral:rRNA from 1 species
AGAGUUUGAUCCUGGCUCAGAAUCAACGCUGGCGGCGUGCCUCAGACAUGCAAGUCGAACGAUUAAAGCUCUCUUCGGAGAGUGUAUAGAGUGGCGCACGGGUGAGUAACACGUAAGUAAUCUACCUUCGAGUGGGGAAUAACAGUCGGAAACGACUGCUAAUACCGCAUAAUGCAGCGGCAUCGCAAGAUGACAGUUGUUAAAGGAGCAAUUCGCUUGAAGAGGAGCUUGCGGCAGAUUAGCUAGUUGGUAAGGUAAUGGCUUACCAAGGCUACGAUCUGUAUCCGGUCUAAGAGGACGGUCGGACACACUGACACUGAAUAACGGGUCAGACUCCUACGGGAGGCAGCAGUCGGGAAUUUUGGGCAAUGGGCGAAAGCCUGACCCAGCAACGCCGCGUGAAGGAUGAAGUAUUUCGGUAUGUAAACUUCGAAAGAAUAGGAAGAAUAAAUGACGGUACUAUUAUAA